rnacentral:tRNA from 1 species
GGGGCUGUAGCUCAGGGGAUAGAGCAUCGGUUUCCUAAACCGUGUGUCGCAGGUUCGAAUCCUGUCAGCCCCACCC